CACAACCAACUUCUAAAAGGCCUCCGCCCAUGACAAUGGAUGACCAGCAAGCAGCAAGCAAGCAGCCAAGCACAAGGACUCACAGUGGUGUUAUUAGAAGCCAUAUGUUCAAGAACCAAUUUGAACAAGAUCUAUAUAAAGCAGUCGCCAAAACACAAGCGGAACUCAGACGAUGCAAAAAAGCAAAAGCGGGAUUAAUACAGAAGUUACAAAUAGCCAAGAAAUUGACCCGUUCCAAAGCUUAUCAAUAUGUUACAAAAGACUUGUCACCAGCAGCAAAAACAUUUUUUGAUAUGCAAAUAAGACAAUCUACAAAACACCCCAAAGGACAUCGUUUCACAUUAGAUGAAAAGAUAUUGGCAUUAUCAUUAUAUAAACCUAGUCCAAAGGCAUAUCGCUUGCUGAGCCAAAUAUGUGUUCUGCCGAAAAAAACUACCUUGAACAAAUUAAUGACGAAAACAUAUUUAAUGCCUGGGAUAAAUGAUAUUAUCUUUAAUAAUUUAAAGAAAAGGGUAGAAAAAAUGCCUAGUAAGCAUAGAUAUUGCUCUAUAAUAUUUGACGAAAUGGCCAUUGCUGCCCAUGUUGCAUUUGAUAAACAUACCGAUAAAAUAAAAGGUUUUGAGGACGACGGAUUCGAACGCGAAAGAAAAUUUGCUGAUCACGUGUUGGUAUUUAUGGUCAGAGGAGUAUUCAAAAAAUUUAAGCAGCCUGUCGCUUAUAGCUUUUGUACUGGAUCCACAAAAACGGAGAAGCUCAAAAGGCAAUUAAAAACAGUAAUUGAAAACGUUUUAGCAACCGGACUCAAAGUCAUUUCGACAACGUGCGACCAGGGAUCCACUAAUAUGGCUGCCAUAAAUUCACUAAUAAAUGACACCAAAGGUCAUUAUAUAAGGCAGAAUCAAGAAUUUAAAGGGGGGUUUUUUGAAAUCAACGAACACAAAAUUUACCCACUAUACGACCCCCCUCAUCUUUUAAAAGGAAUAAGAAACAAUCUGAUUACAAAAAAUUUGGAAUUUACUCUGAAUGGGAAAAAGCGCACGGCAAAAUGGGCCCAUUUAGAAGCUCUAUACAAAAAGGGCCCAAGCUAUAAAGGCAUGCGCUUAAUUCCUAAACUUACCGCGCGCCAUGUAAUUCCUAAUUUAAUACCUAAAAUGAAGGUUAAAUACUGCACGGAACUUUUUAGUAAAACUGUCAGCGUUGCCAUGGGAUUUACAGCAGGAACUGGCAGAAUCCCAAAAGAAGCUCAAGAUACUGCAGAAAUUUUAUUAUUUUUCGACAAUUUGUUCGAUUCCGUAAACGGUAGUUACAACAGAAUUGAAAAGGGUAAAGUUUACCGAUCUGCGGUCUCGCCAAAGUCACCACAUCAUAAGUUGUGGUAUAAAAGUCUACCAAUAUUAAAAUCCAUGCAAUUUGUUGGUGGAGCACGCUCAGGGGUGGUUCCAUCUUUAAGAAGUUGGAUUAAAACUAUAGAAGCAUUCCAGCAAAUAACAAAAAAAUUACAUUCCAUUGGGCUCAAAUCUUUACUGCUGCGCAAUUUCAAUCAAGACCCUUUAGAAAAUUUUUUUGGUGCAAUAAGGGCUCAUGGGCAUCGAAAUAUAAUGCCUACAGUGCCGGCAUUUGAGGCUUCUUAUAAAGCGCUUUUAAUAAAUAAUAUGGUGUCGCCUAAAUCAAUUGGGGCUAAUUGCGAAAGUGAUGAUGGCUAUUGUUUACAA